CAGAACGGGCAGGUCUUGUACUGGUACAGGGUCAACUUCAGGCCACCAUCAGAAUAAGCCUGUGGAAGACGUACAGCAAGGUGAUGUUGGACAGACAACUGUAUUGUUUUCUACAAGCCAAGUCCCCCUCCAAGCAGAAACGCACAUCCCAGGACACGGCCACCGCGCAGAGGGGUGAAGGGCAGUUUGGAUCGGAAUCCUGAACCGCCCGUUCCGUGUGCCCUGAUUGAUCUAUGCAGCGAGACCCUUGGAACCAGAGAGGCAAUAUUCCCAGAAUAUUCCCAGCAAGACAUGCUGCAGACUCCAAAAUGUGCCAGCCGAUCUUACCGACAGUUCUCGCGCAGGAAGCUGCCAUCUUGCUUUUACAUACAUUCCCACAAUGCAGUGCGUAGGGACUUGUUCAAGAACAUAUUAUCGAUUUACGAAUUGGUGGGGUGUUUGGGUGUUCAAGAGCAUCAAUGUUUUAGAAGCUUAAGGUCGGACAUACUGUAAAAAAACGUCUGUCUGCUACCGAAGAGCCGGACAGAAGGCAGAAAAUAGAUAUUUGACAUCGGUAGGCCAGUUAUUUUUUUGCCAGUCUCAGUGCACAGCUGUAAAUAAUUUCCUAACAUAAGAUAAAUGGACAGAAUACAUCUCUGCGUGAUGCUGCUAUGUACACCAAAGCAAAAUGAUAGGAUCAGGCAUUAUAUGACCCGUCAUUUGUAUUAUUUAUUUAACUUAACUUGUAUGACUAUUUUGGGGCGAGGGUUAAAUUAACAAUUUUAAAUAAAGAAAUCGCAUGAAAUUGUUCAAAUCAGA